rnacentral:tRNA from 1 species
UCCCCAAUGGCUCAGCAGGUAAAGAAUCUGCCUGUAAUGCAGGAGACAUAGGAGUUGCAGGUUCGAUCCCUGGGUGGGGAA